CCAGAAGCCAGAGAGAGAGUGGAGGGCAGUGGCAGCUUUUUUAAAGAAAGAGAGACCACGCCCCUAAUGGGCUGGUAUCUCAGCAGCUAUUGGCUGAAGGAGCAGAAGGAGCUCCCACAACAGAAGACACUGGUGGAGUUUAACGGCUCAGAUAACUGUCUUUUUAGUAAGCCAUUCCCCAUGAGUCCUGUGGUUCCUGACUUCUCCCAAUUAAACCUGACCACAUGUCUCCAUGCUAACUUUUUUCCAAGAUAAUAUAUAACAACAAUAAUAAACAAUAACACUAAUAAGUAGCAAACAUAUAUUUUAAAUACAUACAUUAGUUAAACCUUUACAUGUUACUUUGGAGUGAGGUUUAGACAGGUUAGAUGAUUUUUCUACAGUAUCAGUCAUAAAAGAGAGCUCACGCUCAGGUUCAUGUUAGGUAAUUAUCAUGAUCUCUUUGACUCUACACUGGGCUCUGCAUGACAACACCUUAAAGAGAGCAAUUAAUGCUUCAUUCACUUUCUGCUUUAGUGUCUCUUAAACUAAAUACAGAUGUUCUGAUUGAAUUUUCAGUGAAGAGCAUUGGUUAAAUUAUUCUCACCCUUUCUCCACGAAGGAACAGAUCCAUCAGGACUCAUCUAAGUACAAGAUGACUUGGAGACUCCCUACAUUUUGACAACAGCAAUGGAAUUACACAUUUAUGAAUCACACCUGAAGUUGGUGUAUGUGAAAUGUCACAUCUCUGCGAUAUAUAGAUUAUUUUCAUCAAUUUUUUUAAGAAAGGAAGAGGCUGGGAACUAAGGGUUUAGUAUCACUCCUUACCGUAACCCAGGUAGCACGUGGAAGAUACGAGAACCAUACUCAUUAGACAAUGUUCUUUAAACCAAUGUACUUGGAACAAAGGAGAAGGGAAGUUUCAUUACCAUGAAUAUUAAACUCAUCCGAGGAUGAUGUUUCAUUUCCUGGUGGAACAUCUGGUCUAAUACAGCCUCUCAGAUAAAUCAUUCUCCAUUUUGGAUGAUGCUAGUUCAGCCUUUGGUCUUGCAAUUAUUUUUUCAUAUUACAAUGAUUUUAAAAUGCAUAGUCUUUAAUUAAUAAGCAACACAUUUUUACUUGCUACAGACAAGCCACCAAUCAAACAAUACUUGAAUGACCUUAAUACAUCUAUCGUCAUCACUUUUCUAGUGUUGUUUCUUUCUCUCUCAGUAAGAAAACCGCGAACUAAAACAAUUUGGUCAUAGGAAAUCAUGCGACUAUAUUCUAGUUCUCUUUUAGGCUUCCUGUUGCUGUUGAGACCUUAUCACUUAGUUUUAUAUGGCCACAUAGUUUUCUUAAGAUGCAAUAGGUUAAAGGAAGAAUAACUUUUACAAAUGAGUAAAAAUAGCUAUAGAAAAACUUCUCCAACGUCAAAAAAUGUUUUAAAGAGACUUUAAAAUAAUAGUUUAAAAUGGGAAAUUUUAAAGAAAAUCAACAAGUGGAAAUAAGAUAGAAAUUUUUGGUUCAUACAUUUUAGAAAUUAGCCAAUGAAUAUAAGGUAUAAAUCAAGUUAUAUCUUCAAGAAAUGACCUUUGGAGGGAAAGGAGAAAAAGUACCCCUAUUUAUGGAUUUUGAGUUGACAGCACAACCUUCUUUCCCACUGUUUCCUUCUCCUGCUGGGUCAAGGAGUUUUAAGCAUCCUUUUGUAAAUCAUCAUCUCAUAUCUAUUUCUUAUCUUCCAGCUCAGUGCACAAUACUAUCUGUUACACAUGGAUACUAGCAAUAAUACACAGUUGCUCUGGCAUAAGAGACUGGCAGUUUGGUGCUCAUCUGUCUUCUGAGCCUUAUUCUACAACAUGGAUGUUCCUGAUUACAUGGAAGCCACCAUUGCCAGGAAUUUAAACAGAGGCACAUGGUUUCUUGCAUUUCUUCUUCUGAACUUCAGUCAGGCAAUGCAGCCUCAUCCCUCCAGGGCCACAUGGAUGCAGUGAUUGUUUGCCCUCCAUACAGCAGCAUGAAUUUAAAGAGAUUAGUUUUAUUUUGUUUUUGCUCUGAGAGUGGGUAAUUUCAUGGGACUGUUGUAUUGCAAGAGACUUCACAGAGUACUAUUUGAGGGCUUAAAUAAAAUAAAUUCUGAAUCCUAUGUGAAUACUAAAAGAGGCAUUAGCUGCUACUAAUGGGAAAGAAGUCAGCUCCCUUUGAAAGAAAGACAGAAACUUUAAAUGCUGCCACUGUCAACACGAGCUUGGAGAAUCCACCCGCAUGCUUUAAAAAAUACAGACAUGUGUAUCCCAUCUAUGGGAGAAUCUGAUUCAGUUAGGCUGCAGCAGAGAUGAGGCAUCUGGAAAUUUUCUGAGUUCCUCUGAUAACUGUAGUUAGCAAGCAGAUGUGGGGACAACUGAUAUCUGCAAAAAUCUCAGAGCUCAGUUGCUCUGAUACCAGCAGGUUCUGGAAGACUUGGGAAACGUCUGAUCAUCUCAUAAUGCUUUACCCUCUUCAUGCUUCCUCUGACAUGAAGGAUUUUCAGAAUAAUAUAUAAACCUGGAAUGUGGCAUGGCCUUGGAAUAAAUUUCUGUAUAGAAAAGCACACUGAAACCAUGCUCCUGUCAUUGUUCCUGUGUGGGAAGUCACUGUAACCAUGUUCCUGUGUGGGAAGUCACUGUAACCAUGUUCCUGUGUGGGAAGUCACUGUAACCAUGUUCCUGUGUGGGAAGUCCCUGUAACCAAGUUCCUGUGUGGGAAGUCACUGUAACCAUGUUCCUGUGUGGAAAGUCACUGUAACCACGUUCCUGUCACUGUAACCAUCUUCCUGCCACUGUGCUCUGCUACUGUAUCAGAACUGCACUGUAACCAUUAUGCCCCAGUUUAUUCUACUUCCGCUAAAUCAUUCUAUCUUCACAAGUGCUAAGGUCUGUGAUUCUACAAACAGACAAACAAACAAACCAGUAAAAACAAACUAGUUGGAUAAUC